rnacentral:rRNA from 1 species
UUUUCGACCUGAACUCAGACGUGAAUACCCGCUGAACUUAAGCAUAUCAUUUAGCGGAGGAAA